UACGUAGGGUGCAAGCGUUGUCCGGAAUUAUUGGGCGUAAAGAGCUUGUAGGCGGUCUGUCGCGUCUGCUGUGAAAAUCCGGGGCUCAACCCCGGACUUGCAGUGGGUACGGGCAGACUAGAGUGUGGUAGGGGAGACUGGAAUUCCUGGUGUAGCGGUGAAAUGCGCAGAUAUCGGGAGGAACACCAAUGGCGAAGGCAGCUCGCUGGGACGGUACUGACGCUGAGACGCGAAAGCGUGGGGAGCAAACAGGG
rnacentral:rRNA from 1 species